rnacentral:rRNA from 1 species
UACAUAGGGCGCAAGCGUUGUCCGGAAUUAUUGGGCGUAAAGCGCGCGCAGGCGGUCUCUUAAGUCUGAUGUGAAAGCCCCCGGCUCGACCGGGGAGAGUCAUUGGAAACUGGGAGACUUGAGUGCAGAAGAGGAGAGUGGAAUUCCACGUGUAGCGGUGAAAUGCGUAGAGAUGUGGAGGAAUACCAGUGGCGAAGGCGACUCUCUGGUCUGUAACUGACGCUGAGACGCGAAAGCGUGGGGAGCAAACAGG